rnacentral:rRNA from 2 species
ACAACUUUUAACAAUAGAUCUCUUAGUUCUAGCAUUAAUAAAGAACGCAGUGAAAUGCAAUAAGUAGUGUAAAUUGUAGAAUUUAGUAAAUUAUUAAAUCUUUAAACGUAUAUUGCGCCCCUUAGUAUUCUAUAGGGCAUACCUAUUUAAGCGUUAUUUGUACCCUUAAGCUCUACUUAGUGUUAGGUGUUUGUUCUACUUAGGACUUGCCUUAAAACAAUUAGCAGCUAGCAUAUUAGCCUAGAGCGUAGCAUAUUUUGCGCCUCUUGUUAUAGUUAUUAGUAUCUAUUAAGAUACUUUUUAAGCUCUUAACCUUAGAUUAGGUAGGGAUACCUGCUAAACUUAAGCAUAUUAAUAAGCGGAGGAAAAGAAACUAAUAGGGAUUGCCCUAGUAACAGCGAGUAAAGCGGCAAUAGCUUAAAUUUAAAAUCUAGCUCUUUUAGGGUCUAAGUUAUAAUUUGCAGAGGGCGCUUUAGCGUUAGCAGCAGUCUAAGUUCCUUAGAAUAGGACGUUAUAGAGGGUAAGAAUCCUAUACGUAGUUGCUAGCCUUUGCUGUGUAAAGCCCCUUUAACAAGUUAAGUUAUUUAGGAAUAUAGCUCUAAAUAGGAGGUAAAUUUCUUCUAAAGCUAAAUACUAGCUAGAGACUAAUAGUAUAUAAGUAGAGUAAUUAAAAGAUAAAAAGCACUUUAGAAAGAGAGUUAAAUAGCACGUGAAAUUGUUAAAAGGGAAGCGCUUAUAGCUAGACUUGCCUAUAGUUACUUAUCUAGGCUUUUGUCUAGUGCACUCUUCUAUAGGCAGGCUAGUAUUAGUUUAGGUAGUUAGAUAAAGGUCUCUAUUAUAUACCUCCCUUUAGGGAGGCCUUAUAGGGGAGAUAACAUGCAACUAGCCUAGACUAAGGUCUACGUAUCUGCUAGGAUGCUAGCGUAAUAGCUGUAAGCGGCCUAUUUUAAAAUAUAGACUAAGGAGUCUAAUAUCUAUAUAAGUAUUUAGGUGUUAAGCCUAGACGCGUAAUAAAAGUAAAUAGAGGUAGGACCCCUUUUAGGGUGCACUAUUAACUAAUCCUAAUAUCUUUAGAAGGAUUUAAGUAAGAGCAUAGCUAUUAGGACCUAAAAGAUAGUAAACUAUGCUUAAAUAGGGUGAAGCUAGAGGAAACUCUAGUAAAGGCUCGCAGCAGUUCUAACGUGCAAAUUAAUUGUUAAAUUUAGGUAUAGGGGCGAAAGACUAAUUAAACUAUCUAGUAGCUAGUUCCUGCUAAAGUUUCCCUUAGGAUAGUAGUAACGUAUUUAGUUUUAUAAGGUAAAGCGAAUAAUUAGAGGCCUAGGGGUUAAAAUAACCUUUACCUAUUCUUAAACUUUAAAUAUAUAAGAAGUCCUUAUUACUUAAUUAAACGUAGACACUUAAAUAUACUAUUACUAGUAGGCUAUUUUUAGUAAGCAGAACUAGUAAUGCAGGAUAAACUAAACGCAGGGUUAAGGUGCUAGAAUACACGCUUAUUAGACACUACAAAAGGUGUUAGUUUAUCUAGAUAGCAGGACAGUAGCUAUAGAAGUUAGAAUCUACUAAGGAGUGUGUAACAACUUACCUACUAAAUAAACUAGCCCUAAAAAUAAAUAGCGCUUAAGCGUGUUACCUAUACCCCGCCGCUAGGGCAAGAUUUAAGCCCUAGCAAGUAGGUAGGCGUAGAGGCUUGUGACAAAGCCUUAGGGGUAACCCUAGGUAGAAUAGCCUCUAGUAUAGAUCUUAGUAGUAGUAGCAAAUACUUAAAUAAGAACUUUAAGGACUAAAGUAGGGAAAGGUUCUGUGUGAAUAGCAGUUAGACACAGGUUAGUUAAUCCUAAGAGAUAGGGUAAUUCUGUUUUAAUAUUAGCGCUUACGCCACGCCCUUAAAAGGGAAGCUAGUUAAUAUUCUAGCACCUAGAUAUAGAUUCUCCGCGGCAACGCAACUAAGAGCGGAGACCUUAGCAGGAGCCCUAAGAAGAGUUCUCUUUUCUUCUUAACAGUCUGUUACCCUAAAAUUAGUUUGUCUAGAGCUAGGGUUUAAUAGCUAGAAGAGUGCUACACUUUUAUAGUAUUUAGUGCGCUCCUAACAAGCCUUAAAAAUCUACUUAAAGAAAUAGUUUUUACGCUAGGUUGUACUUAUAACUGUAGUAGGUCUCUAAGGUAAAAAGCCUCUAGUUAAUAGAAUAAUAUAGAUAAGGGAAGUUAGCAAAAUAGAUCUAUAACUUUAGGAAAAGGAUUAGCUCUAAGGGUUAGGUACGUUAGGCCUUAGGGAGAAGCCUCUAGCGCAGAAGGGCACUAACCGCAAGGUAGGCGCCUCUUAGCGCUAGGGUGCAGACACCCUUAGUAGGUUUUAGCUGUCUAGCGUACGUUUAACAACUAACUUAGAACUAGUAUAGAUAAGGGGAAUCUAACUAUCUAAUUAAAAUAUAGCAUUGCAAUAGCUAGAAAGUAGUAUUAACGCAAUGUAAUUUCUGCCUAGUGCUCUGAAUGUCAAAGCGAAGAGAUUCGACCAAGCGCCGGUAAACGGCGGGAGUAACUAUGACUCUCUUAAGGUAGCCAAAUGCCUCGUCAUCUAAUCGGUAACGAGUAUAAAUAGAUGAGCAAGAUUCCUACUGGCCCUAUCUACUAUCUAGCGAAACCACAGCCAAGGGAACGGGCUUGGCCAAAUCAGCGGGGAAAGAAGACCCUGUUGAGCUUGACUCUAGUUUGACAUUGUGAAAAGACAUAGGGGGUAUAGAAUAGGUAGGAGCUUUAGCGCUAGUGAAAUACUACUACCCUUAUCGUUUUUUUACUUAUUUAAUAAAGCAGAGCUAGGCCUUACUACCUAACUUCUAGCGUUUAAGGUCCUUUAUAGGCUAAUCUAGGUUAAAGAUAUUGUUAGGUAGGGAGUUUAGCUAGGGCGGCACAUCUAUUAAACUAUAACGUAGGUGUCCUAAGGGGGACUUAUAGAGAAUAGAAAUCUCUAGUAGAGUAAAAGGGCAAAAGUCCCCUUAAUUUUAAUUUUUAGUGUGAAUACAAACUAUAAAAGUGUAGCCUAUUAAUCCUUUAGUCCCUUAAAAUUUGAGGCUAGAGGUGCUAGAAAAGUUACCACAGGGAUAACUAGCUUGUGGCAGCCAAGCGUUUAUAGCAACGUUGCUUUUUAAUCCUUUAAUAUUAGCUCUUCCUAUUAUACUAAAGUAGAAUUUAGUAAGCGUUAGAUUAUUCACCUACUAAUAGGGAACGUAAGCUAGGUUUAGACUGUCGUAAGACAGGUUAGUUUUACCCUACUAAUAACCUUGCCCUAAUAGUAAUACCGCUUAGUACGAGAGGAACCGCGGUUUUAGAUAAUUGGUUUUUGCAGCUGUCUAACUAGGUAUUGCCGCGAAGCUACUAUCUACUAGAUUAUAGCUAAACGCCUCUAAGUUAGAAUCUAUGCUAGAAUAGGGUAAUUUCCGCCUGCACUAGUUAGAUAUAAAUAGGCCUUUGGCCCAGAACCUUACUAGAUUAGCGUUGGCAGCCCUAUUAAAGUUAGGGUUGUUAGCUAGUGUAUUGCAAUUGUACAGUGCGCAGGAU